AUUGAACGCUGGCGGCAGGCCUAACACAUGCAAGUCGAACGAGCGGCGGACGGGUGAGUAAUGUAUGGGAAUCUGCCUGCUAGAGGGGGAAAACUACUGGAAACGGUUGCUAAUACCGCAUACCAUCGGAUGUGCCCAGAUGGGAUUCGCUUGUAGGUGGGGUGAAGGCUCACCGAGGAGGCGAUCUCUAGCUGGUCUGAGAGGAUGACCGGCCACCCGGGGACUGAGACACGGGCCAGACUCCUACGGGAGGCAGCAGUGGGGAAUAGUGCACAAUGGGCGCAAGCCUGAUGCAGCCAGGCCGCGUGUAUGAAGAAGGCCUUAGGGUUGUAAAGUACUUUCAGCGGGGAGGCGUUACCCGCAGAAGAAGCACCGGCUAACUCCGUGCCAGCAGCCGCGGUAAUUC
rnacentral:rRNA from 1 species